GAUAAACGCUGGCGGCGUGCAUAACACAUGCAAGUCGAACGAUGAAGCUUAGAUGAUUUCUUCGGAAUGAACUUAAGUGGAUUAGUGGCGAACGGGUGAGUAACACGUGAGUAACCUGCCUUACACAAGGGGAUAGCCUCUGGAAACGGAGAAUAAUACCCUAUAAAGUCUAAUCAGCCCAUGCUGGAAAGACCAAAGAUUUAUCGGUGUAAGAUGGACUUGCGUCUGAUUAGCUAGUUGGUGAGAUAAAAGCUCACCAAGGCGACGAUCAGUAGCCGGCUUGAGAGAGUGUACGGCCACAUUGGGACUGAGACACGGCCCAAACUCCUACGGGAGGCAGCAGUGGGGAAUUUUGCACAAUGGGGGAAACCCUGAUGCAGCGACGCCGCGUGAUUUAGAAGGCCUUCGGGUUGUAAAAAUCUUUUUUACGGGAUGAAAAUGACAGUACCGUAAGAAUAAGGUCCGGCUAAAUACGUGCCAGCAGCCGCGGUAAUACGUAUGGACCGAGCGUUGUCCGGAAUCAUUGGGCGUAAAGGGUACGUAGGCGGCCUAGUAAGUUAGAAGUUAAAGAAUAUAGCUCAACUAUAUAAAGCUUUUAAAACUGCUAGGCUUGAGAGAUGGAAGGGAAAGUGGAAUUCCUAGUGUAGCGGUGAAAUGCGCAGAUAUUAGGAAGAAUACCGGUGGCGAAGGCGACUUUCUGGUCAUCAUCUGACGCUGAGGUACGAAAGCGUGGGUAGCAAACAGG
rnacentral:rRNA from 1 species